rnacentral:rRNA from 1 species
GUGGGGAAUAUUGCGCAAUGGGGGAAACCCUGACGCAGCGACGCCGCGUGAGCGAAGAAGGCCUUAGGGUUGUAAAGCUCUGUUUUAAGGGACGAAUGUCGUGGGGAGUAAUAUGCUCUGCGAAUGACGGUACCUUAAGAGGAAGCCCCGGCUAACUACGUGCCAGCAGCCGCGGUAAGACGUAGGGGGCGAGCGUGGUCCGGAAUUACUGGGCGUAAGGAGCACGUAGGCGGGAACUUAAGUCAGGUGUGAAAGACCGGGGCUCAACUCCAGGGUUGCACUUGAAACUGGGUUUCUUGAGGGCAGGAGAGGAAAGCAGAAUUCCUGGUGUAGCGGUGAAAUGCGUAGAAAUCAGGAGGAAUACCAGUGGCGAAGGCGGCUUUCUGGACUGACCCUGACGCUGAGGUGCGAAAGCGUGGGUAGCAAACAGGAUUAGAAACCCCAGUAGUCC